AACAAAGUUCAAAGGUUCAUUCUGAAGUUCUGACGGUCUAAAGUACAACUGCGUGAGUUUCACAUGAAAACAAAGAACCACAAGGAUUACAAUGAAAUAGGAUCCAGACAGGUAAACUACUGCAGUACAGACAGGUUAACUACUGCAGUACAGACAGGUAAACUACUGCAGUACAGACAGGUUAACUACUGCAGUACAGACAGGUUAACUACUGCAGUACAGACAGGUAAACUACUGCAGUACAGACAGGUUAACUACUGCAGUACAGACAGGUAAACUACUGCAGUACAGACAGGUUAACUACUGCAGUACAGACAGGUUGACUAUCACAGUACAGACAGGUAAACUACUGCAGUACAGACAGGUUAACUACUGCAGUACAGACAGGUAAACUACUGCAGUACAGACAGGUAAACUACUGCAGUACAGACAGGUUGACUAUCACAGUACAGACAGGUAAACUACUGCAGUACAGACAGGUAAAGUAUCACAGUACAGACAGGUUGACUAUCACAGUACAGACAGGUUAACUACUGCAGUACAGACAGGUAAAGUAUCACAGUACAGACAGGUUGACUAUCACAGUACAGACAGGUUAACUACUGCAGUACAGACAGGUUAACUACUGCAGUACAGACAGGUAAACUACUGCAGUACAGACAGGUAAACUACUGCAGUACAGACAGGUUGACUAUCACAGUACAGACAGGUAAACUACUGCAGUACAGACAGGUUAACUACUGCAGUACAGACAGGUAAACUACUGCAGUACAGACAGGUUGACUAUCACAGUACAGACAGGUAAACUACUGCAGUACAGACAGGUAAAGUAUCACA